rnacentral:rRNA from 1 species
GGAUUAGAUACCCUGGUAGUCCAUGCCGUAAACGUUGGGCACUAGGUGUGGGGGACAUUCCACGUUUUCCGCGCCGUAGCUAACGCAUUAAGUGCCCCGCCUGGGGAGUACGGCCGCAAGGCUAAAACUCAAAGGAAUUGACGGGGGCCCGCACAAGCGGCGGAGCAUGCGGAUUAAUUCGAUGCAACGCGAAGAACCUUACCAAGGCUUGACAUGCAUUAGAUCGCGUCAGAGAUGGCGUUUCCCUUCGGGGCUGGUGUACAGGUGGUGCAUGGUUGUCGUCAGCUCGUGCCG